UACGUAGGGUGCGAGCGUUAAUCGGAAUUACUGGGCGUAAAGUGUGCGCAGGCGGCAGAGCAAGUCGAGUGUGAAAGCCCCGAGCUUAACUUGGGAAUUGCGCUCGAAACUACUUUGCUGGAGUGUGGCUGAGGAAGGUGGAAUUCCACGUGUAGCGGUGAAAUGCGUAGAGAUGUGGAGGAACACCAAUGGCGAAGGCAGCCUUCUGGGCCAACACUGACGCUCAUGCACGAAAGCGUGGGGAGCAAACAGG
rnacentral:rRNA from 1 species